UUCCAGGUUUUUUUUAAAACCACAUAGCUAAAAUCACAGGUAAUAU
rfam:Mustela putorius furo unplaced genomic scaffold scaffold00168, whole genome shotgun sequence.